ensembl:ncRNA lncRNA:CR45474 long non-coding RNA:CR45474
ACCACAGCGACGCACACCAAAGACUAAAUGUUUGAAAACAUUUUAAUUUCUUACGAAAUUUAAAAGUAGAACUCUACAAGAAAUUUAAAAGCGUUCUUCUAUUUUAUCAAUCGGUAUGUGCUGGUGGGAACUACAGCUACUCCUUGAACCCCUCCACCUCGCUGGCUUCGAAGGGCACCUCCUCUACCUUGUGGAAUCCGGAGAACUUGAUGAUUUUGCCGUUGCCUUCCACCUUCAGGUGCUUGGCGAACUAUUGGGCCGGUGAAAGGGCCAGCUCCUCCUCCGUCUUGUAGCCGUAGUACUUGGCCCAGUCGUUGUAGAACUUUACAAGAAAUUUAAUAGUGUCUUUCUAUCCCAUUAACCGGUAUCCGAUGCGGAAGGACGCGAAUCCAUUUUGAAUCCGCAUCGGUUUCCCAUUGACGCCACAACAUAGUUAAGUCCUAUUUGU